rnacentral:rRNA from 1 species
UACGGAGGGUGCAAACGUUGCUCGGAAUCAUUGGGCGUAAAGCGCACGUAGGCGGUCCGUUAUGUCGGGUGUGAAAUCCCCGGGCUCAACCCGGGAACUGCGUCCGAUACUUCCGGGCUGGAGGUAGGUAGGGGAGAUCGGAAUUCCUGGUGUAGCGGUGAAAUGCGCAGAUAUCAGGAGGAACACCGGUGGCGAAGGCGGAUCUCUGGGCCUUACCUGACGCUGAGGCGCGAAAGCUAGGGGAGCGAACAGG